rnacentral:tRNA from 2 species
GGCGAGAUGGCCGAGCGGUCUAAGGCGCUGGUUUUAGGCACCAGUCUCUUCGGAGGCGUGGGUUCGAAUCCCACUCUC